AGCAUACAGUAAUGUCCUAGGCCUUCACAUUCACUCACCACUCACUGAUUCACCCAGAGCAACUUCCAGUCCUGCAAGCCCCAUUUGUUAGUGGUACUCAGCAGAACAACAACUAUAUCGUAUAAGCUGCAUCAGAGACAAAUGAAGAUGAAAAAACUAUCCUCCUAUAUAACUAAUCUGUGCUGUGCCCCAACAAAGCCUGCUUUAAAUUUCCGUGCCAAUUACAACCCCCAUUCUGUAUCAGGCAAGGAAGACUCCUCUACCCUUGAUUCUGGAUUGGAAAGGUCACAAGGCUUAGAUUCCACAGGAGGAGGUGAAGACAUCUGCAGAGUCUGUACUGCGAGCUGAAGCUUUAUUUGCUUGUUGGAUCCCCAAAAGGUCCAAAUCCAGUCUGCACCAAACAGGAAGGCUUGGUGCUUGGUCAUCUUGGUGGUGGUCAGCCACUCAUCAACUCCCUUUUCUUGGCAGAAAGUGAUGAAAUGGAUUAAGAAGAUCUCAUUCAGAGUAUUUGCAGCUGGGCAGAGUUUACUUGGAGGAUAUUCAAAUCCAAGGUACUCCUUCAGUUUCUGAGCUGCAUGGACUAUAGCUUCACUGACCACCUCACAGACGACGGGCACCUCUUUGCUGUCCUUCAGAGCCAACUGUUGCGAUGCUUUCUGCCCCAUUUUCUCU
rnacentral:lncRNA from 10 species